AAGCGUUUCAAAUUAAUAAUUAAUAUUGUUUCGAGUUAAUUGUUGCUUUUGUAUUCUUCUGAAAACUGUUGAACUUCUAGGUGUUAAAAAGGAAAGUUAAAGACCUUUACAAUCUUCAUGAGGUGAAUUUUCAUAAGAGAUCAUAGGGUUAAAACGUUUGAAUAGAGAAAGAAAAAAUAGAAUAGAGGAAUAAAAAAGAAAUACCAAUUGCAUGCAAAUUUACGAAUAUACACAGAAGUAAAAUAGAAUUGUCAUGCAAAUGAAUAGACUCACUCAAAUGUAUGCAUUAAUAUAUCUACUGUAUUGUUAAUUGUACAGAUGGAAAGGUUUAAUUUUGGUACAAUUGACACGAAACGUAAAGUCCAAUAGAUUUAUUAUUAUUAAAGAAAAGACGAAAAGAGGACCAAAAAAUGGAUAAACACAACAUUGUGGAAAUAUUGAUGAUAUGUUGAACCUUUCUUUUGAUUAAUGGUAAUGUCUGCGAAACCGAUGAUGACGAUAUUGACAGAAAAGGCAGUGAUGUCAUGUGUGCUGAAAUGAACCUAAAUCAGCUAAAAACUUUAUUUCACUCUUGCUAAAUCCUUUUGACCAAAGCUGGUUACUGAAUGGAUUGAGAGGAAAAAAAAGACAAGAUAAGAAUCAGGUUUAUGUUGGACAGUUUUGAUAGGGAUUCCACUUUUCGAUUAAGCUUCAACUUUAACCAGUUUCAAAUUAAAUGAGAAAUGACUGAAUGUAGUGAAAAGCUGAUGGAAAAAAAUUUUAUCUGUAAAAACAGAUGAAUGGAUGACCCAAAAAUUGUAAGAGGCUUACCUAUAAUUAAAAGUGAUAUUUGGAUAAAGUAUAACAAAAUAAUUUCUUUGAUGGUUU